AUAUAUAUAUAUAACAUGUUCAGGAAGUCCCAGCAUUUCUCAGAUAUAUAUUCGAAAUGUUCAAUAUCGAUGAUGUAUUUUGAUUUGAUUAAACGAAAUUAUCGCUCACCCUAAUUAUGCUGGACUUUCCCACCCUGGGUGCACCGAGAAACACAACUUUGACACGAUCCAGAGUGUCUGCGGGGCUUUCCUCCUCUUUCGAUCCGCUUUCGGCGUUUUCACAAGUUAUUGUCUCGCCUCCUCUCCUUUCCAAGUAAUCCAGAUCGAGUUCUACGAACCAUUUGUACAAUACGUAUCUUCAAAAUCUAACAUACGAGAUUUAAAUAUCGUUUAUAAAAUCAUCCUUUACGAGAAAUUA